rnacentral:rRNA from 1 species
AGAGUUUGAUCCUGGCUCAGCGCUGGCGGCAGGCCUAACACAUGCAAGUCGAACGGUAACAGGAAGCAGCUUGCUGCUUUGCUGACGAGUGGCGGACGGGUGAGUAAUGUCUGGGAAACUGCCUGAUGGAGGGGGAUAACUACUGGAAACGGUAGCUAAUACCGCAUAACGUCGCAAGACCAAAGAGGGGGACCUUAGGGCCUCUUGCCAUCGGAUGUGCCCAGAUGGGAUUAGCUAGUAGGUGGGGUAACGGCUCACCUAGGCGACGAUCCCUAGCUGGUCUGAGAGGAUGACCAGCCACACUGGAACUGAGACACGGUCCAGACUCCUACGGGAGGCAGCAGUGGGGAAUAUUGCACAAUGGGCGCAAGCCUGAU